rnacentral:rRNA from 1 species
UACGUAGGCAGCGAGCGUUGUUCGGAGUUACUGGGCGUAAAGCGUGCGUAGGCGGUGGUCCAAGUCUGGUGUGAAAUCUCCCGGCUUAACUGGGAGGGUGCGCCGGAAACUGGGCCGCUGGAGUACGGGAGAGGCAAGCGGAAUUCCAGGUGUAGCGGUGAAAUGCGUAGAUAUCUGGAGGAACACCCGUGGUGCAGACGGCUUGCUGGACCGUGACUGACGCUGAGGCACGAAAGCGUGGGGAGCAAACAGG